CCUACGGGCUGCAGCAGUGGGGAAUAUUGGACAAUGGGCGAAAGCCUGAUCCAGCCAUGCCGCGUGUGUGAAGAAGGCCUUCGGGUUGUAAAGCACUUUCAGUGGGGAAGAAAGCCUUGGGGCUAAUACCCUCGAGGAAGGACAUCACCCACAGAAGAAGCACCGGCUAACUCCGUGCCAGCAGCCGCGGUAAUACGGAGGGUGCGAGCGUUAAUCGGAAUUACUGGGCGUAAAGCGCGCGUAGGCGGUCUGAUAAGCCGGUUGUGAAAGCCCCGGGCUCAACCUGGGAACGGCAUCCGGAACUGUCAGGCUAGAGUGCAGGAGAGGAAGGUAGAAUUCCCGGUGUAGCGGUGAAAUGCAUAGAGAUCGGGAGGAAUACCAGUGGCGAAGGCGGCCUUCUGGACUGACACUGACGCUGAGGUGCGAAAGCGUGGGUAGCAAACAGGAUUAGAUACCCUAGUAGUC
rnacentral:rRNA from 1 species